rnacentral:rRNA from 1 species
AUUGAACGCUGGCGGCAGGCCUAACACAUGCAAGUCGAACGAGUGGCGGACGGGUGAGUAAAGUCUGGGAAACUGCCUGAUGGAGGGGGAUAACUACUGGAAACGGUAGCUAAUACCGCAUACCAUCAGAUGUGCCCAGAUGGGAUUAGCUAGUUGGUGGGGUAACGGCUCACCAAGGCGACGAUCCCUAGCGGGUCUGAGAGGAUGACCAGCCACACUGGAACUGUGACACGGCCCAGAAUCCUACGGGAGGCAACAGUAGGGAAGCUUCGGCAAUGGACGGAAGUCUGAUGCAGCCAUGCCGCGUGUAUGAAGAAGGCCUUCGGGUUGUAAAGUACUUUCAGCGGGGAGGCGUUACCCGCAGAAGAAGCACCGGCUAACUCCGUGCCAGCAGCCGCGGUAAUAC